rnacentral:rRNA from 1 species
UAGAGUUUGAUCCUGGCUCAGAUUGAACGCUGGCGGCAUGCCUAACACAUGCAAGUCGAACGGUAACGCGGGGGCAACCCUGGCGACGAGUGGCGGACGGGUGAGUAAUACGUAGGAAUCUGCCCAUUUGUGGGGGAUAACCCGGCGAAAGCCGGGCUAAUACCGCAUACGCUCUACGGAGGAAAGCAGGGGAUCGUAAGACCUUGCGCUAAUGGAUGAGCCUACGUCGGAUUAGCUAGUUGGUGGGGUAACGGCCUACCAAGGCGACGAUCCGUAGCUGGUCUGAGAGGACGAUCAGCCACACUGGGACUGAGACACGGCCCAGACUCCUACGGGAGGCAGCAGUGGGGAAUAUUGGACAAUGGGGGCAACCCUGAUCCAGCAAUGCCGCGUGUGUGAAGAAGGCCUGCGGGUUGUAAAGCACUUUCAGAGGGGAAGAAAAAAUCGGAGCUAACACCUCCGAGCUUGACGUUACCCUUAGAAGAAGCACCGGCUAACUCCGUGCCAGCAGCCCCGGUCAA